AGAAUAACUAUUUUAGGUGCUUGCUUCUGCAAGAUAAAGAGAAGAUUAGCAUGGUCCUAUGUGCAAGGAUGACAUGCAGAUUCCUGAAGCAUUCCAUACUUAA